rnacentral:lncRNA from 1 species
UUCUGUUAGGGUGUUUUCACACAAUAGCCAGCUAGUUUAGACCACAAUUUCACAGCAAUUAACGUAAACAACUUGGACAGAUUUGGUUUCAAGAUCAAAGUUCCAUGAAAACAAGAACACGGUUGAAGGUUUAUUUCAGGUUUCAAGACUGCCAAGAUUAACCUCUUUGAUCCAAGAAGCUCAAGACUUCCCCAAUAAGGUUUUGAUGUUCGAGUUUUGCAAAGCAACAACACAAAGGUUCAAGAAACAAGUGCAAACAGAUUUGGCAACCCAGCAAUUAAUUCCAGCAACGACUCAAGGGAAUGACAAUAAGGUAUGCAACACAAGAGAUUUUUUUUUUUUUCUGGAUUUAAACAGAACAUAAACACAAGACAAAACUGGACAGAAAAUUUCGGACAACAACUAAACAACAAAGACAGAUUUCUGACAAGGAAACAACCAAGACAGAUUUCUGACAAGGAAACAACAAAGACAGAUUUCGGACUUGACAAACCCGAGCACUUGAGCUACGAAUUUAGAAGACUAAAAUAGAUCUAAAAACGAUAAAAAAGGAUAUUCGUGAUACCUCUAACUAGCUCUGAUGCCAGCUGAUGCGAGACGCGGAAGCUACUUCGGAUCUAGAGGAACACGAUGAAGAUUUUACGGAGUUGAACCCGAACUUGGACCACUCAAGAACAGAUUUAACGGUAGAGGACGCCACAAUCAAGUAUGUGUGCUUGAUUGAUAAGUCAAGAACAGCCUAGGAUCAACUCUAGGAUGUUCAACUUAGCUUUUACAAGCUAAGGGAAUUUGCCACAAGGAAUGGACGAAAUUCUGGAAAUUUUAUUCAAUACUCUCAAAAACUGAAUGUAACAUGCGGCUUGAGGCUAUUAAUAGCCGUAACUAAGACCUAAUAACCUGGAAAAAUAACAAGGAAAGUUCGGCCAGCCCCUUGGGCCUAUACUUGACCGAAAGCUAGCCCAACUAACUAUAGAUCAUAAGCUUCGGGGCUCAGCCCGCCGUUUGGAGCUUGAACACUCGCAUCUUCAAUUGUAAGCAGCAUUUUAGUAGUCGUGCAAGGAUAUUCCAACUCAAUUCCUUCAAUGCCCGGUUUCUCUUGGGUUUGGAUGGCACGUACCAAGGCUUGGAGGGACUCCUUGAAUCUCUUAGCUCGUGCUCGUGUCACUGGGCCUUGGGGCACCUUCACAGGGUCUACUUGUACACUUUGGGCCUCGUGCUCCACCGCAUCAUUCCCCUCCUCUUGAAAAGGAUUUGUCCUCAAAUCUAGAUGGGGAUGUCGACAGUGCGUUUGGAGGUCAACCACGUUGGGAACAAAUGAAAGGUCACGAGCCAAGUUAAAUGCCGUUUGGUCAGUUUCAUGAGGCCCUCAAACAAGGACAUACGCCAAGAUAGGAAAAAGCUUGUGUAAGGCUCACGAAACUUCCAGGUAGCAAUCCAAAGCUCUCUAAUCAACCUUCGGCCAUGGAUUGUCUUAUUGUCACGUGACAUAAGUGGCAGCAAUGAAGUGAAAUGCACUCCAUACGAAUCGCAUGAAUUUGCACAAGUUGGGGUUGGUGAAGUAAGCUCGUGGUGACUAGCUUUUGGACAUGUGAAGAAGCACGAACGUGCACCACUUGCAGCAGGGAUAAGCACGAAAUCGGGUUGCAAGUCUUUAGCCGUAGUUGGAAAAUUGUGGACAGCGUUACAACCUAUGAAAACGAAAUAACCUUCAACUUGGAGCAAUUCAGAAAUCGGGUAAAGGACUAAUGGGACAUUAUUAGCUAGAUGGUAAGAAGGUGUAGAACGAGAUUUAAAUGAGAAAACUCCCUUUGACACUUCGAUAUUCCUUCCACCAAUUGAUUCAACUUGAGAUUCCAGUGCUAGUCCUUGACACAUAGGUAAAGAACAAGAAGUAGAUUCUGGAAUUUCCCUUUUAAGAUGAGCUCGAAUGAAUCCUCCAAUGGUGCGGACAGAUUUGAAUGGACAUUGUUCCAUGAAUUGAUACCAAAGAGAUUUAGUUCCUAGAAGACCAAUUCCAUGGAAACUCGCAAAGUGUUCAAGUGACUUCGGGAUGGAACAUGCCAUGAUCAAUUCUACUUGACUUUGUGUAACUUGAACAAAAGAAGAGGUGCUAAACAAAACACAUGUUAGCCGGUUAGCAAACAAAAUGGUCACACUUUCAGCCUUUGUAAACACGGCCAACUCCUCCUUUUUACUCUUCACUAAGGCCAAAUUAUUCUUGUCUUUUUCCACUCCAUUCUUCUCGGACCAUUGCUCACGCAUUGUACAUGAGGUUUGAUUUUCAUUGUCUAGCUCAUGUUCAUGGCUCAGUUGUAACUCAUUCAUAUUUGGCUCUUCAAUCAACGAGGGACUAGGAUGAAUUUUCCCUUUAUUACCACCGGUUGGCACAUGGUUAAGUUGCUCCAGGUGUGAAUCCAGCACUUGGCUAAGUCUUUCCAUCAUAUCAUCAAUCAAUGCUUCAGUCCGACGUUCGAAUUUAUCCAUUGAUUCACGAAGCUUUGACUCAAUUCGAAAAUUCUCGAGCCCUUCGUCUUGAUUGUCAAGACACUUCUUAGAUGAACCUUGUUUGCUUGAAGUUGACCUUGAUUUAGAUGCUCUACGCAAACUGCUUUGCUCCUUCUCAUACUCAUCACAAUCUUGUUUAUACCUUUCAUACACACACAAAGCACGGUGGCGUUGCAUCUCCUCCCGGAGUGAAUGAUACCCACAUUGUGAACUGGAUUGCAUGGGGCUAAAGUACUUGGAGGUACUUCGCUUGGGACCUCUCCUCUUGAAAGGUUCGGUCUCCAUGAAUUCUUGAUUGUAUGAGCAAGAUGCAACUCUAGUGGCCAUGACUAUGUGACCUGCAAAACGGUUAGUAGUGCAAAGGAAUUUUCCUCCCACACAUGGCUUACAAUUGUAGUUUGAUGUCCAUGGUUUGUUCACCAACUUCACUAGACAUAUUUAGUCCACCUGCAAAAUAAAUAAACAAAAACGAGUUCCUUGCUCUCUUUUUUUUUUUUUUUUUUUUAAAUACGAUGUAUAGGUCACUCACACUCGUAUUUCACUCAAGUGUAUCACUCUCUAAUAAUCUUACCAAGCAAUUCCUUGGCUUGCUAGUUGCUUGGUUGAACAAAUUAGGUGUUACCGCAGUAUACGUUCUUGACUAGUCAACAAGUGACACACAAGCUAGUAGAAAUAAAUAGAGGUGUAUGACUGACGACCUAGACACGACUCAAGACUCAGAAUAUAGCUGGACAAUAACUAACGACUCAAAAGAAAGUAAGACAAUUAACUUGAAUGCUGAAAUUUUGAAAAUCCUAGAAAACUCUACCCGAAACCCAAUUUUCUGGAAUUUGUUGAGCUGCUGGUCCGUGGUCUUUUUGGUAUGGGUUUUGGAGUAUUUUGGGUGGCCUUAGGCUACUCAAAUAAUGGGCAAUCUACUACCUAAAACUCAGCCCAAUCGGGUGUCACAAUUGCUCCAACGGUUUUAGGAAAAUUCAAGAAUUCAAGAUUCGGAAAUUGGAAAGUUUGAUCUGAUUUGGACACUUGGGGUUGCCAAGGAUUGGAAACCUUGGAGUUUGGUCAGAUUUGGGAGUCCCAAGUGGUCCAAAUUCGAAAUUUUGGGGCUGGUCAGAUUUGGAAGUCAGAUUUUGCACCAAAUUUGGUAAACUUGUAGGUUGUCAAGAAUUGGAUGUUGUUCAGAUUUGGAAGUCCAAGUUUGAAUCAGAUUUGGUGGCUUGAAGGCUGACCAAGACUAGGGCUGUUGGCUGUCAAGAAUUGGAUGUUGUUCAGAUUUGGAAGUCCAAGUUUGAAUCAGAUUUGGUGGCUUGAAGGCUGACCAAGACUAGGGCUGUUCAGAUUUGAAAGUCCAAGUUUGAAUCAGAUUUGGUAAAACUUGAAAGCUGGUCAAGAAUUGGAAACCAGAGCCGUCUUUCUUGAAAUUUUUUUUUGACUUCUGUUGGGGUGUUUUCACACAAUAGCCAGCUAGUUUAGACCACAAUUUCACAGCAAUUAACGUAAACAACUUGGACAGAUUUGGUUUCAAGAUCAAAGUUCCAUGAAAACAAGAACACGGUUGAAGGUUUAUUUCAGGUUUCAAGACUGCCAAGAUUAACCUCUUUGAUCCAAGAAGCUCAAGACUUCCCCAAUAAGGUUUUGAUGUUCGAGUUUUGCAAAGCAACAACACAAAGGUUCAAUAAACAAGUGCAAACAGAUUCGGCAUCCCAGCAAAUUAAUUCCAGCAACGACUCAAGGAAAUGACAAUAAGGUAUGCAAUACAACAGAUUUUUUUUUUUUGGGAUUUAAACAGAACAUAAACACAAGGCAACACUGGACAGAAAUUUUCGGACAACAACUAAACAACAAAGACAGAUUUCUGACAAGGAAACAACAAAGACAGAUUUCUGACAAGGAAACAACAAAGACAGAUUUCGGACUUGACAAACCCGAGCACUUGAGCUACGAAUUUAGAAGACUAAAAUAGAUCUAAAAACGAUAAAAAGGGAUAUUCGUGAUACCUCUAACUAGCUCUGAUGCCAGCUGAUGCGAGACGCGGAAGCUACUUCGGAUCUAGAGG